rnacentral:rRNA from 1 species
CUACGGGGCGCUCCAGGCGAGAAAACUUUGCAAUGUGCGAAAGCACGACAAGGUUAAUCCGAGUGGUUUGUGCUAAACGAACCUUUUGACAGUCCUAGAAACACUGUUGAAUAAGGGGUGGGCAAAUUCUGGUGUCAGCCGCCGCGGUAAAACCAGCACCUCAAGUGGUCAGGAUGAUUAUUGGGCCUAAAGCAUCCGUAGCCGGCUCUGUAAGUUUUCGGUUAAAUCUGUACGCUCAACGUACAGGCUGCCGGGAAUACUGCAGAGCUAGGGAGUGGGAGAGGUAGACGGUACUCGGUAGGAAGGGGUAACAUCCUUUGAUCUAUUGAUGACCACCUGUGGCGAAGGCGGUCUACCAGAACACGUCCGACGGUGAGGGAUGAAAGCUGGGGGAGCAAACCGGAUUAGAUACCCUUGUAGUC